rnacentral:RNase_P_RNA from 13 species
UGCUCAGGCCUUCGCAAAAGUUAUCUUUGAACAAAUGGAAAAAAUCACAAAAGAACAGGAAAGGACGCAGGCAAAACUUGGCUUCUUUGCUGUUUAACUCUUAUUUUUCUCUCCUUCUCCCCUUUCUUCUACUUUUUCCCGUCCUUCCUCCUUUUCUCUCCUUCUCUUCCCUCCUCCUCGUUUCUCUCGAUGAAGAAAAAACAAGAAUUUAUUAUUACAAAGCAACAAAUGUUGCAAAAAUAUGACCCAAACAAU